AGUAUUGCGCCAGCAGAAUGGAUUACAUUGAUGUUGUAAAUUAUGGGUUACUCCCCAAUACCU
rnacentral:tRNA from 1 species